CCACGAGGGGUGCAACGGAAUCCGUUUUCUAAGCAUCUUUUGGAUGCUCAUCCCACGGCCUAUGAGAUCAGAGGACUGAGAUAUUAUAUUUAUAUAUAUUUUUUUAAUUUUUUUUUUUAUUACGCCCGUAAAAAAUAUCAAGUUAUUUACAUUUAUUUUUCUAUUGUUUUGGAUAGGCUAGGAGCCUUUUCUACCUACUAGGCUUUUUAAUUAAGACCCCUAUAGAC